CAGAGCACUGCCUUGCAGUUACCCACUGCUUCUGGCCUAAACUCUGAUAUCGUUGCCCCUGUAGAGAGAAUACCGGUGCUGCUGUGCUUCUGGCCUGUGCUGCUUUGCUGUCUUACUACACAUUAGAACCCUGUAAAUUUUCCAAGAUCACCAAGGUGAUAUUUCCCACUAAAUGGAACCUGGAUCCUUAGAGAAGUGGUGGACUCCAGGUCUGAGGAAAGAAUAUUCAAGAAACAUAUAUAUAAGAAAGCUAUCAAAAGAACAUGAAGGCCUAGGUGGCUCAGCUGUUAAGUGUCUGCCUUUGGCUCGGGGCGUGAUCCUGAGUCCCAGGAUGGAGUCCCGUGUCGGGCUCCCUGUGUGGAGCCUGCUUCUCCCUCUGCCUGUCUCUGCCUCUCUCUCUGUGUCUCUCAUGAAUAAAUAAAUAAAAUAUUUACC